rnacentral:lncRNA from 1 species
AUACCAACAACAGUGUGCCACUAGAAAACACCAGGAACGCAUAAAGAGCAUCCCUAUCACCUGCACGCUUCAGAGUCUUCUGCAUUUGCUAACGAUGGAUCACUCCCUGGCAGGCAGCAGAAGGGAUCCAGCAGACCCCCACACCGCCAGCCUCACUCACCCAGAAGUAAUCCCUGCUCCAGCCGCACAGCCACCGCGUCCCAACAAUGUCCUCCGGCGAGGAGAGGAGCCGCAGAACUGAACUUUCACUCCCAAAAGGCGCAGGAGAGCCGCCCUGCACGCCUGCCCGACCGCUGCCCGAGUUCCAGGGCACAGAGCUCGGGAGGUGCAGCGCGCAGCCGGCUGAAGGACGGGCACCGCGGCUCCCCCUGAGCGGGAUCCCACUCACAAGGCGCGCAUCGCUGCCGCUCCGCUCUCGCACACCGAGCCGCUCUGCACAGCGAGCGCGGCCGAGACCCACUGCCUUGUUUUAACCACAGCUGUAAACAUCAAGUUUUUGGGGGUUUGGGUUGUUUGGGGUUUUGGUUUUGUAAAUUUCGGCCAAGACAGCCGUUCAUUCAGGCCAACGCCGCCCAGCAGGCGAGCAGCCGCAGCGGUGCCGGGCUGACAGGGUCCCGAGCACAGCCCGGCGCUCCAUGCUUCCAAAGCAGCCCCCGACGCGCCUCGGGAGCGCUUUUGUCUGCGGAGGAGAAGGCACGGAGCGCCCGGGCGCUGCCGCCACAUCACCGCGCUCCUGGGCUGCCGCCCAAAACAGCGCCCGCGCCGCCCCGCGCCCCGCCGGGCAGCGGGAGGACGUGGCCGGAGCCCCGCGAUGCUCGGAGCCUCCGCGAUGCCCGGAGUCUCCGCGAUGCCCGGAGUCUCCGCGAUGCCCGGAGUCUCCGCGAUGCCCGGAGCCCCGAGACGCCCGGAGCUCCGAGUUGCGGCGGGGGUGGCGCGGCCCCGAGCGGGGGGCACGGACGCGCGCGGAAGGCGCCGCUCCAGCCGGGACCGCGGGGGCACGGCCGGCAGCGAGCCCCGCUCCCCUCCCCGUCUCUCCCCACGCCGGAUGCAGCGCGGCGGGCGAGGAACCGAUCUCCUCCUCUCCCGCUCCCGCCCAGCUGCCGAUACAGUUCUGCCAUCAUACUCACAGCGCGGCCCUCGCUUGUCGCACCUUCCGUGCCGAUGUGCCUCCCUUCGCCUCCACGGCUGCAGUGACUUUCCAUGCCUUCUGCGGGUGUGUGGGUCCGACGGGGAGCAGGGCAUCCACUGGUGUAAUAGGCCCUGUGCAUUGCUGUUGCCUCGACGGAAAAUCAUUACCCAGUAAUGGAUGAGCCAGUUCGGAAGGAGUGCCACUGGGAUACUGCACACUUUCAUUCAAAGAUGCUAUGUAUUAGAGGAAGUAGCAGGAGACCUGCCAACUUUCCCAAUUUAAUUAUUAAACUGUCAGUUCCUGACUCCUUGUUUCAACUUCCUGAGGCAACAUCUGGC